UACAGAGGGUGCAAGCGUUGUUCGGAAUUACUGGGCGUAAAGGGCGCGUAGGCGGCCGCCUAAGUCAGACGUGAAAUCCCUCGGCUCAACCGGGGAACUGCGUCUGAUACUGGGUGGCUUGAAUUCGGGAGAGGGAUGCGGAAUUCCAGGUGUAGCGGUGAAAUGCGUAGAUAUUGGGAAGAACACCUGAGGCGAAGGCGGGUUGCUGGGCUGACACUGACGCUGAGGCGCGAAAGCCAGGGGAGCGAACGGG
rnacentral:rRNA from 1 species